rnacentral:pre_miRNA from 1 species
AUAGUCAAGCAUCUUGAAUAGCGACGCCUCAAACAUAUCAAACAGCCGGGGCAUUAAACUAACCGGAAUGAAUGCUUGAGGCGGCAUAUUCUCAAUGUCCCAAAAA